rnacentral:tRNA from 1 species
GCUUCCAUAGCUCAGCAGGUAGAGCACUUCCAUGGUAAGGAAGGGGUCGUCCGUUCGAAUCGGAUUGGAAGCU